rnacentral:snoRNA from 1 species
GCCUGUAUCGAAAGUGACUGUGGAUCUUUGUGGCCAGGUCAUUGAUAAUGCAGGCACAGCAAACGGAGAGCCUUUCCCUGUGUUUGACGGAGGUGCAGUUCCUAUCAAACCCUGGCGCUUUCAUACA